AGUUUUCGGAUAUCCGUAUAAAUGUCUCAGACAACAUAAUCCAAAUAUUCUUCUAUUACUGUUUCAUGGAAUUGUAGGUGAAACUACUUAAGUGAAGAUUUUUACUGGUCUUUUUUAAUAAGAUGGACAAAAAGUCUAUCUUCUUUUUUGUCUUUGGGGAGGAUUCUGCUUUCUGAGCAUUGGCAAUGUUCAGACUUAAAUUAUGUUUGUGUUCAGUCCUUUUUAAUGAAUAGUUCAGAAGAAAUAUUAGUACCUGCUGACACCUUGGCUUCAGUAUAAUUGAAGAAAAGACAUUUGUUUAAGACAUUGAAUAAUUUGUCUUUUGAUACAAGUCGAUCAAUAAGAAUUCAACGUUAAUCAAAGGAGGGAAUGGGCUCUUAUUGAGAGCAGACUGUGCCACAGAAUGUGCUGUGCAGUUAUGUAUUGUCAUAGUCAGUCUUCAUAACAAUUCCAAGUAUGUAUAGUUAUUUCGAAUUUACAAAUGAGGAAACUGAGUCUCAGAGAACUUUAACUCUCCUAAGAUGGCGAAGAGGAAGAAUUAAAGAAGGAUUAAAUCUUUUUUGGCUGAGAAAAGAGGAGGUGAGAGAAAAUUUCCAACAUGGAAGUGGCUUCUGGCAUGUCAGAGCUCCACAGCAAGUUUUAUAAUUUUGAUAGUCCUUGGAGAUCAAUGAAGUUGACUGGACUCCAUUCCUCUUCCAAACAGAAAUACCUUGCAGUCCAAUGAAGAAAGUAGUGGCUAAAAGGGAAAGGGCCAGAAUAUUCAACACAUUUGUCCUCGGUCCCAAAGGAAGCAAACAAGUCUGUUCCCUGCUAUUCCUUCUUUCACGCUAAACAUGUUAGACCAUUUCUAGAAAAAAGCAAUUUCGCGUUUGUAUUUUUUGUGUUACUUCUUUCAUAGUUUGUCUCCCUUUUGGUGAGUGAACUUGUUUUUAAAAUGUUUGUAUCAGCUCCUGGAGUAGCAAAAUUAUGUUUACACGUUUGUUAGCCUAUUCGGAAUGCUUCUUUUACUUCUAGAAUUUUCCUACUUAAAGGUAAAGUUUGGGUCUAUGGCAAAAACUUGAAAAUGUUGCUAAGGAUACAAGUCAAAGCACAGCAAUCUAAGUGUGUGUGUGCACUCGAGAGCAACCCCAUGAGGUUGGCAGGGCAGGGUAACCAGUUCUAUAGAUGAGCAAGGACAUGCCAGGACAAUGCCAAUCAUACACACGUGCUAGCACAGACAGCAGAGAACUCAGGUCUUCUGAUUCUCAGUUCAGUGCUGUGUCCUUUAUACUACUGCUGUCCUUGGGAACUAGCACACAGUACUUCUGUAGUGUGGAUAUUAGGAAUAAAGGCCAUUUCGUUAGCAUUUCACCCAUUUUUCAUGGAAGUCUAUCCGCACAGGAUUCUGUUGAAAAGUCUGCCUGGUGCCAUACUGUGGAACACAGAAGCUGAGAUUCACCACUUAACUCCUCAUGUUAACUUAGAAUUAAGCACGGAGUCAUUGUGAAAGGCUGUUUCAUUUAGCUCUAACUACAAAUGAAUGUGUGCACAUUUAUAUGCAUGGUAAAUAUGUAGACCUUAGAUAUGUAAUAAUUUGUGAAGCAUAAAAUGAAAAUUUUUGGAAAUGUACCUAAAAGGAAUAAAAACCCUAGGCACUUCCUUGUGGAUAUUGUUUUAGAAAGCUUCGGGCCUUUACCCUAGUGUUAUUUACUUAAUACUAAACAGUCAUUUCAAAUGUUUGAUGUUUGAAGGGGGCCGGCCACUCAAGAUCUUCAUAGGAAAAAAUAAACUUGUAAAGUCUUCAGAAUGUCUGGUUGAUGUUUCCCCAUUAUGUUGUAUCUACUUAUGUUAAGCAACGUGACCAAACCGAAUACAACUGUACAUAAAACUCAGAUUCACUGAACUGUUCACCUUUUUGAUUGAUGACUCAUAUAUCUGAAAGGUUGCAACCGAAAUGAAAAAGAAUAUUGCCGCAUUUUAAUGAAGACGACUUUUGAGAUUACAAAAAUAUAAUUAGAUUAUAUACAUUUUAAAAAAUCUUUUCAUUUUUAAAAUUACACAGGAAAAUAAAGAGUACCACUGGGUAGAAAUUGCUUAAUAAUUUCUUACUUUUUCUAAACGGUUCAAAGAACAAACCAGAUUUCUGUAAGACAAAGUUCAGCUGAAUGUUCUCUUUGGCAAAUACUAGAACUUACUUCUAUGCCUGGGACAUUAGGAAAAUGCCACUUGAAUAAAGAUGAAAUGGAACAACCUAUCACUACCUAUAAAAGAAAGAAGUUAACUGGAAUUUAUCUAAGCUAACUUUAUUUCCCAAACUCAAAAUUGUAACAACAAAGUCCUUUACAUGAGCAGCUCUGUGACCUGAAAGAAGAGGCUGUCUAAUUUCUUUCCAUGCAUCAAGCCAAAUAAAUGAAGGGAGAAAAUCAUUCUUCUCUGUUGGCCUCCUGUGUAAAGUUUCUUUUCUUAUCAUCCCGUCUAGUCACAUCUUUCUGCAGCCUGAAUCACCCUCUUUUCCUCAGACUGGUAAGGCACUGAAACGAUGUUUGUUCUGCUAAUUAACUUUAUUACCCUGAUAACUCCCUGCAGCCUUUGACGAAAACAAUUACCGUUACUUCUUUUUCCCCCCACUGGCAAAAAAAAAAGGGAAAAAAAAAAGAAAAAGAAAAAAAGACUAUUAAUUAGAAACGAGGCCCAGGUCCCUGCCAUGUUAUCCUGCCACGUUCCCAGGCCCUCGAGCAGGAUAGCAUUACAUUGUCAGUAGUAAUUUAGCUCUCAUCUGUCUCUGCUAAUUAUUGUCACAUUCAUCAAAUUCAUCAACAAAAGUGCUCUCAGAAGGAUUGCAUAUUUGCAGUUAAUACAGCAUAAACUGGUAUUACCCAUCACCACAUUUGUGAUGAUGAGAGGGACACAACUUAUUCAUCCCUAAUUAGAGCAAGCUGGGUAAUUAAUUAUGCAUUCCGCCUUAUUACUUCUGAGUUCCCAGAUAUUGUUUGUCUAAAAAGGGGGAGAAAGCAGGAGAGAGAAGCCUGAAAAUGCAAAAAAAAAAAAAAAAGGGUGAUGUGUUUUGUCACAUGCGCUAUGCCAUAAUUCCCACCUGACAAACUAGCUGAAUCAGUGGAAAAUUGCGAGUUGUCAGCAGCAGAAUAAACUGCUGUAAUAGCUGAUUAAUGAUCAGCACCUGUGACAGGUGCUGUACGGGACUGUAAACUUGGUUUGAUUAACAGUCACUGGACGAAUAAAUAUUAGUGACAGUCAGCGGAGAGCAAGUUUGCUUGUUUUCUUCCCUGUUAACAAACCUCACGCAUUAAAGUUACUGAUAUUUCCGUCUGAGACACUCUAUUUUUUGUAGUUAUCUGGCAACACUGGCAGUGAGUUUUAAUGGAUUGUGUUUGUUUCUGUUCUGUUAUUUUAUUUCAGAACGAAAUUGUAUUUUGACAAGAUGACCUGUAGGGGUUUAGAUUCACCAGGUGUGGAAGAAAGACUAAAAAACAACAGGAUUCACACUUGGUUUAAUUUAUGCUCACCUGCUAGUAAUCUGGGUGUGUAUGUGUGUGUAUACAUAUCCACACAUGCACAUAUAUUCAUUAUACACAUUUACAUGUAUGUACAAUAAUGAUUAAGGAAUAUUUAUGCUAAAAAACAGUCACAAACAUGUAGAAUAUGCGAUGUUCGCUUGCUUUUUGGUUUUAAUUGUUUCUUUCCCCGUUCUGUGCAUUGGAUAUUUUCCCCGGAAAUAUUGGCAGCGUGAGUUACCCCAACCCCAUGUCUCAAUCCAGAAUUCAAAACUGCCUGCUGCCAGCUCAAUUGUUUCUACUGAAUUGACCAGUUUCAAACAGACUGGUCAGGAGGUGAUUAACCUGUUUGAGCUGCCUGGUGAUUAACCAGGAGUCAAGUUAUGGGCACAGACAAGCAAAGUGUAAGUAAUGAAAGGAAACCAAUUGUCCUUUUUUUUUUUUUUUUUUUUUUUUUAGGUCAUAGUCAAAGAAGCUAUCUGCCUUAACUGUGGUUCUUUUGAAUUUUUGAUUUAUAUAGUGAGAGAUUAAGACUGUGGAAUUUUGGAAUCCUAAAGACCUACAUUCAAAGUCCUGCUUAACUAGCUGUGAGUUUGGAUAAGUUACUUAAUCUGUCUGAUCUUCUCAUUUUUCCAGUGUAAAGUGAGGGCAUUUCCGACUGCAUUAUGUGGUUACUGUGAAGAUCAGGUAAGAUAACGUGUGUAAAGCACCUAGCACAGCGCCUGGCACAGACAUGGCCCAGUGAUUCGCAAUUUAAUCACUAUUAACACAACCGUGUGAAAUUUGAAUAGUCAGAUUAUUCUCAUAUUGUUUCAUAUGAUGAAUUGCUUUAACACCAAUUAAUUAUCUUUUUUUCUCCACAGACUCCAAAAUAACAGGAAAAUUAAAAAGCGAAGCAAGAUUAUGCCCACUUAUUCCUGAGUAAAAACUAGGAUUAGUAAUAUGUCAGGGUAGUAGAUAACCCACAGUGGUGCUCUAAGUUAUUCAGUUACUUCUCAAAGGCACACAGGUUGCAACUGACUGAGUGGGGUAAACGUUGUUUUUUUAAAUAGAGAUGCCAGGACCCACCACCAGGUACUCUGAUUCUAUUCCUUUUGUGGAGGCCCUUGCCCAUGGGCAUCUUUAAAAAGUUCCUGGGCCAGACACGGUGGCUCAUACCUAGUAAUCUCAGCCCUUUGGGAGGUCGAGGCGAGCAGAUCACAUCAGGCCAGGAGUUCAAGAACAGCCUGUCCAACACAGCGAAACCCCUUUACUAAAAAUACAAAAUUAGCCGGGUGCGGUGGCACGUCUGUAGUCCCAGCUACCUUGAGAGACUGGGGCAGGAGAAUCGCUUGAACCCAGGAGGGGGAGGUUGUAGUGAGCCAAGAUCACACCACUGCACUCCAGCCUGUGCUACAGAGUAAGAAAAAAAAAAGUUCUUCAGGUGAUUAUGUGCGUGUCUUCAAACUUUAGAACUGGGGAUAAGUACAUAAAGUUAGAAAUUUGUGAAAAAGAGUAAGCAUUCAUUCAGAUGAUAGAACUACUGUGAAAUGGAUGACUAAAAACUUACAUACAUUCCCUAUGGGAGCUUUCUAGUUAUCUAAAGUUGUUAAAGUAUCACGACUGAAACACUUUUUUUGUUGUUAGUUAAUCCAGUUGAGGAGAAAACCAUCUAAUAAUUCAAACAGUAAGAAUGAUAUUCAGAAUCAUCACCUUACUUUAUACCACUAAUUAGAAUUGCAAGGUCAAUUGCCUCAUCUCACCGGAAAGAAUAAACCCAGUGGUGGUGGCCAAAACAUUUCUGUGGCUGACAGAUGAACUAGGUGGCGGCAGGGUGACUGGUGAUUGUGGCCUGCUCCCAAGUGGAUAUCGUGCUGCACAAAUGGUGACAAGAGUUAAGAGACCAAACAUUCCUGCCAUGUGGGAUGUAUACACGUGGAUUAAGAAUCAGGUAAUGGGUGGCCUGUGCCUGCUUCUUCCUGCACUUUGUUACCUAAACUUUGCUCGUCCUCGGUGCAAAUCAGUCAAUGGUUGUAGUAGGGUUCAUUGGUCUGUCACUUCCCGAUUGCUGCUUGUGGUCAGACAACCCAGGCAACCACAUGAAACAGCAUUGAAAUUGCUUGUUUGGCUAGAACGCUGAUAUUCCACAUUACGUUACAGUUCCCAGAGAGUCAUCAAGUUCUGUAUCUAUAUUCCAGAAUUCCUGUAGUGCUACAAUGUCUUAAUUUAAAUGUUUAAUUAUUUAAAAGUAUUAAAUUAUACUUUAUCAAGUUGGAUAAAAACAAAAAAGGUAAUCUAUCUCUAAGCACUUACUUAUUUUGAGGUAGGGUCUUACUCUGUCGCUCAGUCUGGAGCGCACUGGCAGGAUCAUGGCUCACCACAGACUCGAUCUCCCAGGCUCAGGUGAUCCUCUCAGCUCAGCCUCUUAAGUAGCUGGGACUACAGGUUUGCACCGCCACAAAUACCUCUGUUUUUCAAUUUUAGUAGAGAUGAGGUAUCACUAUGUUGCCCAAGUGAGUCUCAAACUGAGCUCAAGCAAUCCUCCUGCCUCAGUUUCCCAAAGUGCUGCAAUUAUAAGUGUGAGCCAUCACACCCAGCCCACCUCUGAAAAUUUAAAUAGAAAAAGUCUCACUUGGCACAUGGGAAUUGGGGUGAGUCAAUAGGGAAUGCCUGGCUCCAUAGGAUGACUUGACCCUAAUGGAGUUUUCUCUGGUCCAGAGCAAGCAUGGGCAGACUAUUACCAGUGGGAUAAUCUGGCUUGCCCUCUAUUGUUGUAAGGCUUUGCAAGUUAGGAAAGGUUUUUAAGUGGUUAAAAAAAAAGAUAAAAAUAUUUUGCAAUAUAAAAAUGAUAUGAAAUUCAUUACAUACAUACAAAUUGUAUGGGAUCUUGCUGGAAUAGAAAUUCUUGAUUUAGGAGGUCUAUUCUGCAUUUCCAGCAUGCUACCUGUGAUACUCAUGCUGCUGGCCUGAGGACCAUGCUUAGAGAAGGGAGGCGUUAAACUGUGACCUCAUCAGAAACACGCGAAGCCUAAUGUCAGCCUGAUCAAGAGCAGAUCUUUUAGGAAUGAACUCACAUUAAUCACGUGCACAAGGUUGACGCAAAAGCCUAACAAUCUAAUUUAUUAACCCAUCAAUGAGAAAUACAAUAGGAACAUUCUGUUUCUAUAGACAUGGUGCCUGAUAUGCUGAAUUAGAGCAGAAGAUUAUUUUAUCUUGCUCUGUCGCCCAGGCUGGAGUGCAAUGGCACGAUCUCGGCUCACUGCAAUUACUGCCUCCCGGGUUCAAACAAUUCUCCUGCCUCAGCCUCCCAAGCAGCUAGGAUUACAGGCAUGUGCCACCACACCCGGCUAAUUUUGUGUUUUUAGCAGAGUUGUGGUUUCACCAUGUUGGUCAGGCUGGUGAUGUUCGGCUUCAAACCCCUGACCUUCAGCGGCCCAAAGUACUGGGAUUACAGGCGUGAGUCACUUGGUCUUCUGUGGGUCAAUUUUGAGUGAUAAUUCUAAGAGCCCUGCUCUAGCCAUGCUAGCCAGAGAGAACUGUCUGUGAUUGCAGGAAUUCGAUUCCACUUCUAAUUUACAUCACAUAGUGAUUCCCUAGUCGUGGUUUACUGUUUAUUAUUAUUCCAUGAAAUUAUGCCAUGGCAUUUUAAAAGAUUUCCCUGCAAAUUUAUUUUAAGUAUGUCAUAACUCUAAAAUCAAGAGGAGUAGCAUUGAAGUAUUUAUCACUGUGAGACCAGGACCAAAUCAGUGUCCUCAUCAAUGAAACGUAGAGGAGAGAUUCAGGAAGACAGGAUUCCCAUGGACCCUUCCAGUUUUUUUAAAAUUUAUUUGUUAUACUUUAAGUUCUGGGGUACACGUGCAGAUUGCGCAGUUUUGUUAUAUAGGUCUACUCGUGCCAUGGUGGUGGUUUGUUGUAUCCAUCCCUCGUCAUCUACACUAGGUAUUUCUCCUAAUACUAUCCCUCCCCUAGCCCCCUACCCUCCAGUCCCUGAUAUGUGAUGUUCCCCUCCCUGUGUCCAUGUGUUCUCAUUGUUCAACUCCCACUUAUGAGUGAGAACAUGUGGUGUUUGGCUUUCUGUUCUUGUGUCAGUUUGCUGAGAAUGAUGGUUUGCAGCUUCAUCUAUGUCCCUGCAAAGGACAUGAACUCAUUCUUUUUUAUGGCUGCAUAGUAUUCCAUGGGGUGUAUGUGCCACAUUUUCUUUAUCCAGUCUAUCAUUGAUGGGCAUUUUGGUUGGCUCCAAGUCUUUGCUGUUGUGAACAGUGCCACAACAAACAUAUGUGUACAUGUGUUUUUAUAAUAGAAUGAUUUCUAAUUCUUUGGGUAUAUACACAGUAAUGGGAUUGCUGGGACCCUUCCAGGUUUUAACACUAAACCCAAAUAAAAUUUUUCUGUAAGAUACACAUAAAAAUGGGGUUCAUUUUCUUGUUGCCACACUCCUGGCCUGUGCUGCAUAUUGUACUCUGGGCCCUCAUUGACUUUUUUUUUUUUGAGAUGGAGUUUUGCUCUUGUUACCCAGGCUGGAGUGCAAUGGCGCGAUCUCGGCUCACUGCAAUCUCUGCCUCCUGGCUUCAGGCAAUUCUCCUGCCUCAGCCUCCCGAGCAGCUGGGAUUACAGGCACGCACCACUGUGCCCAGCCAAUUUUUUUGUAAUUUUAGUAGAGACAGGGUUUCACCAUGUUGACCAAGAUGGUCUCGAUCUGUUGACCUCGUGAUCCACCCACCUCGGCCUCCCAAAGUGCUCGGAUUACAGGCUUGAGCCACCGCGCCCGGCCCCUCAUUGACUUUUAUGUCUUUUUUUCUGGUAUUCUUGUUACCUGACAACUCUGUUCUGAAUUUUCUUCAUUAAAAUAAGAACUCGUUAAGGCAGACAUCUUAUUCAAUUUCGUAUCCCCCAGCAUUUUAUAUAAAAAGACUAUCCAAGAUGUGUCAUUGAAUUGAAUUAGCGUGGAAAUACCCUCAAAACAAGUAACUUUGGGGUAGAAGAACCUUAAAAGGUUGAGAGGUUGCAACCUUGCACAGUAACGUAGGAUUGUGACAAGCCAGUUGAUCGGAUGUGUGGCAGCUCCUGGCCUCACACUGCAUUAACUGUAUUCUGUAAACUUAUAAAACCAUUAUUCCCCCGGAAACCUCGAAAGAGUAGCUUGACUUUGCAUUUAGUAAUGGUUCAUUCUAUUUCUGAUUCAAGCAACUUCUGAUAAUUCCAUAAUUAGAUUCAAUCUAAAGGAUCAAGAACAUUUUUGUAUUGUGAUUAGAAUUUUAACAUUAUUCAUGGUUUGUAGAAAGGAAAAUAUCCCAUCUGGAAUAAUGUCAAUGUCAUAUCUAUAUAUGCCUUGUUGGAUUUAAUAAAAAUCUUUAAAAAUAUUUUUUCUCCCCUUAAUACAUUUCCAUUUAUGUGCAAUGUUUUUGAUCAGGAAACUAAAAAGUAGCAGCGGGUGGGAAUGAAGGGAGCCAAAUAUAGAAUUGGUGCCAACAGAUGCAAAAGUGCCAUGGAAAUCUUUGGCCCAGAAAUAAUAGCUUACCAAAAUACACACACACACAGUUGUUGGACUCUUGAACAGAUACACAGCCGUCUGUAUAGACAACAGUGCUGUUGGCCAAGAGUCUCGGAGGCAGGCCAACCUCCUAUCCAGAUGCCACUGCCAGUGAGGAGCCAUUUGGCUUCUAGUCCUCUGGCUGCCAACCUUCUCUCCCACUCUCUGGCAUGAAUUUUUACAGGGGCUGCUGAAGUGAAUUAAGACUCUGAAGAGUUCUGUAUUAAUAUGCCGCGACAACACAGAACACAGUGCCACAGGAGCCCUUUACGCUAUUUGAAUGUUUUUACCCAUUAUUAUUUUUUUAGGUGUCAAAGAAACCUGACUUCUAGGUAUUUGGCCACAGAUAAAUGCAAUUGCUUUGGAAAUUAAGAGUGAUAUAUUUUGAUUUCUGCAUGGAGCCAACUCUCCUCAACCCAGAAAUACCUUGAGAGUUUUUAAAAGGCAAGCAAUUGAAAAUAUACAUGCCAAAAAACAAACAAACAAAAAACUCAAAAGGAAAAAAGGAAAGAGAAUUAUAGAUAAGAAAAGACCCUCUGCAGCCAAUUAAGUGGGUUCCUUUCCUCAUGGCGGCCCAGUGCGCCAGGGCUGCAAACAGCAGCUUCCUUGGUGGUGUAAUACAGUCUGUUUCUUAUAUAGGUUGCUUGAAGGGACCUUUGGAGACAGGGCUUUCGGAUGUAUGUUCCUGUCUGUGACCUUGCACUACCCCAAUGUAGGCUCCAAACAGGCAUGUGAGAUGCCUUUGGAAAGCCCAGGGAACUGUGGCCAGGGUCCGCAUUGGCCAAGUGAUCAUGUCCAUCUGCACCAAGCUGCAGAACAAGCAGCAUGUGACUGAGGCCCUGUGCAGGGCCAAGUUCAAGUUCCCUGGCCGCUAGAAGAUCCACCUCUUAAAGACGUAGGGCUUCAUCAAGUUCAAUGCCGAUGAAUUUGAAGCUAUGGUGGGUGAGAAGCGGCUCAUCCCAGAUGGCUGUGGGGAUGCAGAAUUUAAGGGAUAUUCCUUAGCAAAAUGUUCUGAUCAUCUUGGAAGCCCUGCUGGUAAAACAAAGAUGAAAAUAUCUUCAUUUAUCACUCUACUACAUCAACAUGCAGCUGCCAAAGGUCAUCUGACAUAAUAGCUGAUGAAUUCAAGCCCAGUGGAUUUCAUUUGCAAUUUUCAAUUUACUGAGGCCUCCAAACCCCACGGUGAUAAAAGCUUCCCCUAUCGUGGCCUGUCACAAACAUCAAGAAACUGCACAAACCCACAAGAAAGAAAAAAGAGGAAGCUGUGCAUCAUCACAGCUAUAGAUAAGGAGAACAGGAAGAAAUGGUAUCAACCAGGAAGGUGGGGAGCAGCCUGUGUGGCUAGUUCUCUAAAUGCCAAUUGAAAGGAAAAGACUAUGAGGAACAAUCAAAUAACUUCCACAGAAUAACAUGUUUCUUUAGAGCUUUUGUGUGAAAACUGCCUUCUAAUCUCUGAUGUGACAUGCUCCCACACAAAAAUGUAAGUGUAAAUAUGCAAAUAAGUAAAUGAAUAAAUUAUCCUUGCUUACCUGGUCAUUGGAAAGCAUGCUCUCUAUGCUGUAUUUACCAUAGUUCUUCUUUACAAAAUGCUCAUAGAGGGUCUUUGAUCAUGGAAGUGUAGGCUCAGCACUAAGAAAUCAAUUUUUUAAAUUUUUUUUGCAGAGAAAUGGUAGAUCCUUUGAUUGAUUUGCCAGGGAAGUCAAAGGACUGACACAGUAACUGCUUGUAAGUGGAUCUAGAUGUGGUACAUAUCAAAGAUGCAUUAGCAAGAAGAAGAAAGCCAUUUUCCCCCUUGUCAAACUAUUUACAAUGAACUUAGGCAGGAUCGGGAGCUGACUCCUGUUCCCAGGCAAUUGUUCAAACUGAGGAAACCAUCAGUUUCUUGGAGAACAGCAAGUUUGAUAACUCAGCAGGUCGCCUUCAUCUGAUCUUACUUGACUCACACCAUUGCCUGGCAAGCAGGAAAGCAAAGAGAUGUCCACGUUGGAGGUGCAGCCACUGGGAGAGUUUCAUUUCAAACAUGGAUGUCUUGAUCCUAUUUCUGCCAAAUAGAUUCAGGAAGGCUUAUGGAGUGUGUCUGAUGUGGUAAGAGGACUUGGCAGUGGUCGUGUACCACUCUGCCGAAUGCCAAAAUUUCUGAUGACCCUUGACAAGAAAACCCGAGAAUGAUAUCAACAGGACCAGAAUAUUAACUUUAUUUGUGUGUUGCUGACUGUGUGGCAAUCAGAGUUUGGAAGGGAAAAGAGAGAAUUCCUGGUGGAACUCAUACGACAGUGAGAGGUUGCCUAUUGUAAAGUUAGUCUUUAAACUGUCACAGCAAAAAUAAAAGUAGGAGCUAUUUGAACCCUGAGUUCUUUGAAAUUAAACUGUUUCUUAAGAUUCUUCUAUGAGCAGAAAAUUUAACAAGCUUUUAAUUCUUCAAAGUCUCGAAAUAGAAAAUAGCUUCCUUGGUAGUCGAAAAUGGCAGGAACUAACAUUUUGAAAUAAGAGAAAUAAAACAUUAUUCUAAAGCUGCACAAAAUGUGGAAAGAAACAAUAUUUUAGCAUUCUAGUAUUUUUCCCCUACACAAAAUUAUGCCAUUUUUAAGGUUGCUUUCAACCCUCCUUUUUUUUUUAGUUUCUAUAGGUUCAGUGAGAACUCUCUAUGAUUUGCAUUUUCCAUGGAUUCUCUUUCAAUUGAUAGCAUAAUCCUGAGACCCCACUGGUGGUAAAAUAUUAUUUAAUGGGAUCUUAAUUUAGACAGUCUUCUCAAAAAUGCAUACAUACAAUUUGGUAAGAGUUUUUCAUGAUCACUGUUCUUCUAUGGCAGUGAUAUGCUAUGUAACUGCAGACCAAUUGGUCUGCAGUUACACAGCAUAAAGGGUAAUCUCUUUUAUGUUCUUUUUAUUAGAAAGGCAGAUCUGAAUCUUCAAGGCAGAGUCCUAAAUUGUUCUUGUAGAUGGAUUUGUUCACAAAGACUCUUCACUCUCAUACCCCACGGAUAAUUAGUCAGUCAGCCCAGAGUAUUCACUCUAGUUUGAAUGAUACAAAAGAGCAUUUCUCAUUUCAUUAAUUAAUUCUUUCAUUCCUUUAUGUAGCAUUUAUUUAGUGCCUACUAAGCACAGGUUAUCUUGAGGACUAUAAAUAAGACUUUUCCCACUUUCAAGCAGUUUGCAAAAGACAGGAGUGAAGAAUUUUAAAUUUGUCUUUUUUCUUACCCCCAUCCCCAGAAUUGAAUUGUCAUAUAUCUAUUAAAACUUUAAAUAAUAAAAAAAGUUACACUGAGAAUCUGACCUUGGAUAUCUGGAUAACAUCUUAUUUGUGUUGUCCAUUUGUUGGUGAUAUGUGCAUCACCAUAACUUUUUUUUCUCCAAAUCGAUAUACAAUCUAUUCUUACUAAAUAGCUUUUCUUUGAACUCAGUUUUAAAAAGUUAAAUAAAUCAAGUCAGGAAGGCAUCAUUAGAUAUACUACCACAAAUGGAAAGCCUGUAUCACAAGCUAUGAAUAAAAAACAAUUAUAAAUUAAAGUGUCUAACUAUUAUCGACAUUAUCUCAUGUUUUGUGGGCAGUAAAAGCAUCACUCUUCGGAAGAUACUGGUUUUGUGCGUGGUGCUGAUGAAGAUGACUGCUGCAGAUUUGACUGCCGUAAGAAUGGAAGCUCUGUGAGAACACGUACUUCGAGCUUUUCCUUGCCGUGCUACAACUGCUAGAACAAUGCCUAGCAAAUAUUUGACGCUAAAACAUGACUUUAAAAUGAGUAGGAGCCGGUCAGCUUCUGAAGGAUCAAGUCGUAUUUCUCCUGUAGCCACACUCUUUGUGCUUUAUAAUAAUUACUUGAAUGUUUCUCACAAUCACUGCGCUCAUCAAAAGCUUUGUUUUUCUUGUUCACUCCUGUUAUAAUCAUUAAUGCUAGAACUAUGUCAGGAACAUAGUAGGUGCUUAAUAAAUAUUCACUGGGCAAAGAGACUUGCCAUUCUAAAGUCAUACAGUUUCUAUUGCCUCCCUGGUCAUUUUUAAAAGGAGCUCAAUUGGCCAAUAUUGGCUUAAAGCUAUUCAACAUCUGGACAUUAAAAAAAAAAAAACUUAGUUGAAUAAAGGAAAGAACAUUUUUGUGACAUCAGAAAAAAAGAGUUAACUCUGUUUAUAAAAGACAGACCUAAAAGGAGAACAGAUAAUUCUUUUCAAUGCUUAGCUGUAGUGCCAAUUUUCAAUUCUUGAAUGAGUCACCCCAGCAAGGUUUUCUUACAAUUUUACAAAUUAAGAUUGCACUAAAAUUUAUGUGUUUGUAGAAAAACUGACAAAUAUCAAGGUCAGCAAAUUACACCAAAGGGUACCAGCCAGGAUUUAAUGGUAUAUUUUUAUUUAAAUUGCCUUUAUGAAUUCCUUGACUUAAGAAUCAAGCAUCCUGACUAGAAAAGUGAUAUUUACAAAAUCUGAGUUUAUGUUUUUCUAUUACAAAGACAUCCAUAAGAAGAAAUAGUGAAGAAUUAGCAGUAUUUCUCUGGUCCCCACCUCCAAAGGAGUACUGUCAAUCAUUGCCUAAAACAUAAGCUUUUGUAGGUUUUGAAUGCUUUGAACUGGAAAACGACUAUUUUAGUGGAUAAUUAAAGGGUGUUACAACUGAUUGAGCUUGUGUAGAAUCAGAAAAUUGGUGGGAUUGGAAUGGACAUAUAGGUCACAACACUUCUUUUGUAAUAUUUUCUACUACAAAUGAUUCUUCAGUUGAAAAAUCAAGGCUUGAGCUAAGGUAUCACGUAUGACAUAAAAAUCAAACACUGAGAGAACUCUAUUUAUCAUUUAACAAAUCAGACUCAGCUUAAAGAGUGGUUUCUCUAAUAGACUAAUUCCUUCUCAUAAAUCUACUGAUUCAAUUACGUAUAACCAGUUUCAUUUGAGCAAAUCUUUAUUUCUCGAAUCUGUGCUAUAUGGAGUAGGCUUCAGUAAGACAUCAAUGGACAUUUCGUUGAAAAAAAAUUUGGGUCAGAAAAGUGUGGAAAAUUUUGGGUUGAACAGAUUUUAAAAUCUGCCCUUCAGAAUACAUUGUGACCAGUCAAUUUAUCAAGGGUAAUAUUAUCCAUAUUUGGUAACUCACUACUCAGCUUAACAUUUCCCAUUUUUGUAAGAUCUUUUAAGAUGUAAUAAAAUAUUACAUUUAAUUAAA